UACGGAGGGGGCUAGCGUUGUUCGGAAUUACUGGGCGUAAAGCGCACGUAGGCGGCUUUGUAAGUUAGAGGUGAAAGCCCGGAGCUCAACUCCGGAAUUGCCUUUAAGACUGCAUCGCUCGAAUCCAGGAGAGGUGAGUGGAAUUCCGAGUGUAGAGGUGAAAUUCGUAGAUAUUCGGAAGAACACCAGUGGCGAAGGCGGCUCACUGGACUGGUAUUGACGCUGAGGUGGCGAAAGCGUGGGGAGCAAACAGG
rnacentral:rRNA from 1 species